GUGGUAGGAGCGGUGUGGACUGAAAAAGGAAAGUGAUGUACAGAAAAUGGAAGUGAGGUACCGAAACAGCCAGAUUAGUUAAGCUUGGGGUUUGCAGUAUGUGAACCUGGUUGAAGAGUUGGCCACCUUAGACUGGCCAAAACUCAGUGAUUGGCACAAGAGUAGGCCACAGUCUUGUUUACGAUUCCAUUUAGCUUAUUGCUCAUGAUGUACAGAGGAACCUUUAGGAUGAAAUUAAAACGUGCAAGGAGGUAGCUUUUGGCUACACUUGAUUUGAAAGCAAGAGAUGCUUGGUGGAGGCUAC